CCUACGGGUCGCUGCAGUGGGGAAUAUUGGACAAUGGGCGAAAGCCUGAUCCAGCCAUGCCGCGUGUGUGAAGAAGGCCUUCGGGUUGUAAAGCACUUUCAGUGGGGAAGAAAGCCUUGGGGCUAAUACCCUCGAGGAAGGACAUCACCCACAGAAGAAGCACCGGCUAACUCCGUGCCAGCAGCCGCGGUAAUACGGAGGGUGCGAGCGUUAAUCGGAAUUACUGGGCGUAAAGCGCGCGUAGGCGGUCUGAUAAGCCGGUUGUGAAAGCCCGGGCUCAACCUGGGAACGGCAUCCGGAACUGUCAGGCUAGAGUGCAGGAGAGGAAGGUAGAAUUCCCGGUGUAGCGGUGAAAUGCGUAGAGAUCGGGAGGAAUACCAGUGGCGAAGGCGGCCUUCUGGACUGACACUGACGCUGAGGUGCGAAAGCGUGGGUAGCAAACAGGAUUAGAUACCCUGGUAGUC
rnacentral:rRNA from 1 species